UACGUAGGGGGCAAGCGUUGUCCGGAAUCAUUGGGCGUAAAGCGCGUGUAGGCGGCCCGGUAAGUCCGCUGUGAAAGUCCAGGGCUCAACCCUGGGAUGCCGGUGGAUACUGUCGGGCUCGAGUCCGGAAGAGGCGAGUGGAAUUCCUGGUGUAGCGGUGAAAUGCGCAGAUAUCAGGAGGAACACCGAUGGCGAAGGCAGCUCGCUGGGACGUGACUGACGCUGAGACGCGAAAGCGUGGGGAACGAAACAGG
rnacentral:rRNA from 1 species